AUGCAGAUUCAGUGCAAUCCUUCUCUUGCAUUGUUUUGGCUUUUAUUGCAGGUUGUUGGUGAAGAAUCAAAGGAGAUUUUGAAUCCUUUCCGAUCUGCUUCCAGUCAAACAGCUUACGGACUCAUCACAUGUCCCGCGAACACCGCUCUACCGUCAAACACCUUCGAUUUAUCUGAGCCUCGACAACCACCGACGCUCCAUUCCCGGCCACCACACGCGAGAAUCGAUUGGCCACACGAAAUCCACCGCCUCCAGCCUCCUCGCGUUCCGAUUGCCGCUCCAACCACGCUCAUCCCAUCGAAGCUUUGA